rnacentral:rRNA from 1 species
GGUUAAGCUACUAAGGGCGCACGGGGGAUGCCUUGGCGUCAAGAGCCGAAGAAGGACGUGUAGCGCUGCGAAAAGCUGCGGGGAAUUGCGCUAGAGUGUUGAUCCGCAGAUGUCCGAAUGGGGAAACCCGGCCUGGGGAAUGCCAGGUCAGCCACGGUUGAACACAUAGGCCGUGAGCGGGGAACUCGGGGAACUGAAACAUCUAAGUACCCGGAGGAAAAGAGAAUAUUCCGUAAGUAGUGGCGAGCGAAAGCGGAGGAGCCCAAACCGAAGUUGUUUCGGCAAGUUCGGGGUUGUAGGACCGACAGAAGGUUUGUUAGCGAUAGCGGAAGGGCACUGGAAAGGCCAACCGAAGAGGGUGAGAGUCCCGUAGGCGAAGUUGCGAACAAACUGGUCGGGAUCCUGAGUACUACGGAGCACGCUAACUCUGUGGGAAGCUGGGAGGCCCACCUUCCAAGGCUAAAUACUCUUGACGACCGAUAGUGAACAAGU